GAUGAACGCUGGCGGCGUGCCUAAUACAUGCAAGUCGAACGAGUUCUCGUUGAUGAUCGGUGCUUGCACCGAGAUUCAACAUGGAACGAGUGGCGGACGGGUGAGUAACACGUGGGUAACCUGCCCUUAAGUGGGGGAUAACAUUUGGAAACAGAUGCUAAUACCGCAUAGAUCCAAGAACCGCAUGGUUCUUGGCUGAAAGAUGGCGUAAGCUAUCGCUUUUGGAUGGACCCGCGGCGUAUUAGCUAGUUGGUGAGGUAAUGGCUCACCAAGGCGAUGAUACGUAGCCGAACUGAGAGGUUGAUCGGCCACAUUGGGACUGAGACACGGCCCAAACUCCUACGGGAGGCAGCAGUAGGGAAUCUUCCACAAUGGACGCAAGUCUGAUGGAGCAACGCCGCGUGAGUGAAGAAGGCUUUCGGGUCGUAAAACUCUGUUGUUGGAGAAGAAUGGUCGGCAGAGUAACUGUUGUCGGCGUGACGGUAUUCAACCAGAAAGCCACGGCUAACUACGUGCCAGCAGCCGCGGUAAUACGUAGGUGGCAAGCGUUAUCCGGAUUUAUUGGGCGUAAAGCGAGCGCAGGCGGUUUUUUAAGUCUGAUGUGAAAGCCCUCGGCUUAACCGAGGAAGCGCAUCGGAAACUGGGAAACUUGAGUGCAGAAGAGGACAGUGGAACUCCAUGUGUAGCGGUGAAAUGCGUAGAUAUAUGGAAGAACACCAGUGGCGAAGGCGGCUGUCUGGUCUGUAACUGACGCUGAGGCUCGAAAGCAUGGGUAGCGAACAGGAUUAGAUACCCUGGUAGUCCAUGCCGUAAACGAUGAAUGCUAGGUGUUGGAGGGUUUCCGCCCUUCAGUGCCGCAGCUAACGCAUUAAGCAUUCCGCCUGGGGAGUACGACCGCAAGGUUGAAACUCAAAGGAAUUGACGGGGGCCCGCACAAGCGGUGGAGCAUGUGGUUUAAUUCGAAGCAACGCGAAGAACCUUACCAGGUCUUGACAUCUUUUGAUCACCUGAGAGAUCAGGUUUCCCCUUCGGGGGCAAAAUGACAGGUGGUGCAUGGUUGUCGUCAGCUCGUGUCGUGAGAUGUUGGGUUAAGUCCCGCAACGAGCGCAACCCUUAUGACUAGUUGCCAGCAUUUAGUUGGGCACUCUAGUAAGACUGCCGGUGACAAACCGGAGGAAGGUGGGGAUGACGUCAAAUCAUCAUGCCCCUUAUGACCUGGGCUACACACGUGCUACAAUGGAUGGUACAACGAGUUGCGAGACCGCGAGGUCAAGCUAAUCUCUUAAAGCCAUUCUCAGUUCGGACUGUAGGCUGCAACUCGCCUACACGAAGUCGGAAUCGCUAGUAAUCGCGGAUCAGCACGCCGCGGUGAAUACGUUCCCGGGCCUUGUACACACCGCCCGUCACACCAUGAGAGUUUGUAACACCCGAAGCCGGUGGCGUAACCCUUUUAGGGAGCGAGCCGUCUAAGGUGGGACAAAUGAUUAGGGUG
rnacentral:rRNA from 2 species